GCCUGUGGGACCCCCCCUCUCCUGCCCACCUGAAAUCCCUGAGGGCGCCGGUGUCCAAACUUUUUCAAAGAGGGCCAGAUUUGAUGAAGUGGCGGGCCAACCAAAGUUGUUGAGGUUUUUUUAGGAUUUUACCUCAGGAAAUAAACUGCCACAGGGGCCGGAUUAAACUGACCGGCGGGCCGGAUUAGGCCCCUGAAACACUCUGGACAUGCCUGACUUAGGGGAAACCUCUUUGUUUAAAAAUAAAAGGAGUGGAGCGGAUUAACUACACACAAUUGUAGAAUGAGCUAUUUUUGAAUGAGCUAUUAUUAGGAGGAAAGCGCUAUUGCAGCCUCUCCACCUGCUCACAUAUCAUUGGCACUUGGAAAGCUGCGCUUUCUUUUGCUUCAUUGAAAACGGAUAUGAUGACGACCCUUAAGUAGUGGUUUUUGAACUUUAAAUUAUUGCCUUGUGUAAUUUGGGCUGUCUUCAAGAGUUUUCCAAGAAAGAAGGUGCCAGACACCAUUUUUAAGCAUCGCUUUGUUCAGCCAGUUCAGCACAGUCAAUGUGCACACUGGGCUUAUAUUUGGUGAUUUGUUGACAUUCAAGGCAGUUAAUGCAUUGCAAUAUGCUUCACAGCUUUUUUGAUCCCCUCAUGAACCGAUAUGAGUGUCAAGUUCUCCUCAGACUUGAAAUCUCUGUGCACAUGCCAGCUCUUCUUCAGGUGCAGAAGAUGAGCUGGUAUUUAAAGUUGAAAGAAACAUUCAAAAUUAGAAUUCUAAUCAUUUCAUUAUAUCUGAUUCUUUAAUGGUGAUAUUGUGCACUAACAGGACAUAUGUCAG